rnacentral:misc_RNA from 1 species
UCGUAACAAGGUUUCCGUAGGUGAACCUGCGGAAGGAUCAUUACUGAUUUGCUUAAUUGCACCACAUGUGUUUUUCUUUGAAACAAACUUGCUUUGGCGGUGGGCCCAGCCUGCCGCCAGAGGUCUAAACUUACAACCAAUUUUUUAUCAACUUGUCACACCAGAUUAUUACUAAUAGUCAAAACUUUCAACAACGGAUCUCUUGGUUCUCGCAUCGAUGAAGAACGCAGCGAAAUGCGAUACGUAAUAUGAAUUGCAGAUAUUCGUGAAUCAUCGAAUCUUUGAACGCACAUUGCGCCCUCUGGUAUUCCGGAGGGCAUGCCUGUUUGAGCGUCGUUUCUCCCUCAAACCGCUGGGUUUGGUGUUGAGCAAUACGACUUGGGUUUGCUUGAAAGACGGUAGUGGUAAGGCGGGAUCGCUUUGACAAUGGCUUAGGUCUAACCAAAAACAUUGCUUGCGGCGGUAACGUCCACCACGUAUAUCUUCAAACUUUGACCUCAAAUCAGGUAGGACUACCCGCUGAACUUAAGCAUAUCAAUAAG